GACAAUAAGUUGCCUCAUGUUGGACAAUGAGUGAACACUUCCUGUCUGAGACGACGUGUCGGACGCGAUGAAGCAGGAAGACUUAUUGAAGUUGUUGUUGGUCACAUUUGCAGUUUGUGCUAUUGCUGUCUGCCUGAACUCCACAGGAAGCUCCGCCCACACGCUUCUUCUUCUCCUCCGGUGUUAAAGGGGACAACGCUUCAUGGUGACGGGAAGUCGGACAAACCACGUCGCCACGAAACCUUCGGGGCCCUGAGAGGUUCCUACUUUCACCCACAGGAACCAAAACAAAGCUCCUCGGAGUUCUUCUUCCACGACUGGAUCUCAAGACCAGGAGAAACGGCUCAAAGCUUCGGCAAAUAAUUCAAACCAUAUUUGUUUAGAAAGGACCACCAGGACCACCAGGACCACCAGGACCGGGGUCCCCCACUCUCCAGCCCGUCCACAGGCUCCGCCCCUCUGGUGACAUCACAGCGCUCCUGAUCCAACAUGGCGUCCAGGAGUCCCAUUGACGGAUUUUGGUCAAGCUGAACUCGUCCCCGGAGCCUGAAACAGGAAAACGAGGCCACAUGGUUAAAAACCUGGAGAUCAAACGGACGGGUGGAGUGAGAUGAGAGAGUGAAGCAUCAUGGGUAGUUAUGGGGAGACCAGGACGUUAGAAACACUGUGUGGAACAGAUCGUCUUUUUUAUAUAUAUAUAGUUUUAUGGAGGGGACUACGAGACCACCUCCUCCAGACCUACAGAGGAGACUCUUUGAGGGGGUUUUGAGUCCCUUUGGGUUGUAGUUUUAUAUUUAUUUAUGACCUAAUUAACAGCAGAUAAUAAUAGGCAGUAAUACAUUUAAUAUCUCAAACUAGUUCCUCCUACUGCAGCAGGAUUCUGUCUGAAGUUAACGGUCAGAUUCAGU